rnacentral:misc_RNA from 1 species
UCCUUCUAAAACUCAUCGUUUGUAUUCACGACAAAUUAGGCUCCAUCUGUUUUCUACCUUUGUUAACCACAAGUUGCAGGUCAAUUAUAGCAAUGGUAGACCGAUGAUCAAAUUUUGAAUCAGCAACUGCAUAUGCCUUUGGAUCUAGAUGCUCAAGAACAGUUUUGAAAAAGGUCCAUCUCUUCAUAAAUAGCUAAGAUACAACGUCCUUCCCGACAAUAUUCACGAGCUCAAUCGUCG